rnacentral:pre_miRNA from 1 species
GCUCCGACUCCGUUCCGAUCGCUCGCUCACUCGGCAUCGGUUGUCGCGCUCCGACGACGUCCAGCGGCGGUGCCGUGAUGGCGAUGUCGUUCGGGAGGCG